GAGCAGCCGGUGUUAUAACAUGUUAGAAAUAUAAAAAAGAAAAGAAACGGAAAAAAGAAAAAUAAUAGAAAAAUUUAAUUUAUAAUUGUAAUAAAAAAAAACACACAAGAUAAAAAAAAAAUUUAAAUCAUUAAGUGUCUCUAAGUGUACGUGUGCUACGUAUGUGUGUGUGGGUGUUUUAAUAUUAAGCUGUAAAAAAUUUUUAAGAAUUUUCAAAAAAAAAAAAAAUUAAAAGCAUUUGUAUUUUUUGUUAAUGUCUAAUGUUUUUAAAGUUUAUUUAAGAAAAAUAUUUUUCAAAAAGUAAUUAAAUUAAAAACAAAUUGUAUUUAAUAAAUAAAAAAAAAACAAUAAAAAUUUUAUUAGUUUAAAAGUCUUUUGAAAAAAAAUAAAAAAUAUGUUUAUAUUAAUUAUAUUAUGACGUUUGCAUUCACCUUUUUGUCUAAAAUAUUUACAAUAAUAAAACAUAAUUAAAUUUGAAAAAA